GUUCAUAGUUGUUGUCACUUAGAGAAAAAAAUUGUUUGAACUUUGACAUUAAGUUGAUGGCCGCAUUCAGGAUUGUUGCGUAGAGAUAGGUGAGUCUUCAAAAGUUCUUAUUGAUCUCAUGCUAAGACUUCUUCAUUACUUUUGUCUUUGGCGACUUCUUCAUUUAUAGAUGGAAGCUAAUGUUGAUGUUGUCUAUGUGUUGCGAGCUUAUCAAAUAUCACAUUGAGAGCUUUCCAAGUGCGAAAUGGUUAUUCGUACCAAAUUGUCUUUUGUGCUUCAACUCGGGUAAGUUGACGUUGAAUGUUUGAACGAAUUUUCCUCUUUUACCUAUUAAGUGAUUUACUCUAAUGUUGAUAGAUAGUAAACUUCCAACAGUCUCGGUCUUGAGUUUUACUAGACUUAUUUUAUGCUACUCAUUUGUUAUCUGACGAUGAGUACUAAAAGGGCUAGCUUUUGUUAUUGGCUCAAUUUGUACUGCUCAUGUCGUUUAAACGAUAAGCACCAAAUGAUCUUCUUCUCUUUUCUUUUUCUUUUUUCAUCUUUUCUUUUCUUUUCUUAAUUUCCUAUUAGAGGAUAUACUACCUACAUAAUUCUCCAAACCUCAGAAGAUAAAUUAUUCUCUUAUAUUUGUUAUCAGUGAAAUCCCAAAGAUUAUAUUGUUUUUAAACUUAUCUAAUUUGUACAAUCUCUCUUUUUAUGAUGACAAAUAACUAUAAUUUUGAUUAUAUUUUUUUAUUUUUUUUAACACAAUAAAUAUUUUAGUGGAACCUGUUUCUAAGAGCUACCCCUUAAUUUAACACAACAAAUAUAAAAUAACAAACGAAGAAAAGAAAAUAGUAUCAAAAACAUGGAAUGGAAAAAUAUGACGUUAUGUUCAAUAAAAAUUCAAAGGCACCCACUAAAUUUAUUAAAUAUAAACUUUUAAAAUGUAAUUGUGAAGAUAAAUUAUUGAUACCAAAAUAAUAAUAAAUCACAAUUUAUAUUUGUGUCGAUACUCUAUUUGUAAGAAGAAAAAGAACUUGAGAUCGUCUUGAGCAUUUAAUUACUAUCACACUUAGUAUGAUUAAUUAAGAUCCUAUAAAUAAAAGAUAUUUGAGUUCAAAUUUUAUACAUAUUAUCUCCACUUUUUGAAGAUGCUAAAAUUGGUUUUAAAAUGAUUUUAUUUCUCUUUCUUCUAUAUCAAAUAGAUCAUACAUUAUAUAUUAUUGAAAUACAUUAAAAUUUAUAGUUUAUACAUUUUAAUUAAAUACAGUUAAUUUUCAUAAGUCUUAAUAACAUAUCUAAUAAUUAUAAAUUUAUAUUAAAUUCUAUGUACAUAUCUGAUUAUUACAAAUUUGUAAUAAAUCCGUCACUUUCAUUCCCCUAAAACCUAACCUACUCUAAAAUUAUGCUAUUUGUAUUAUAAAAUGUUCUAAAAAUAAAUUAAUUAAUAUACACAAAUCAAAACUUCAAUAUGAACAAAAUUUUAUUCUGAUUGAAAGUAAAAAAGUUUAUACCAUGAUACAUUAAAAAUGAGUCAACAAAAGAAAACGAAACAUUGAACGCAAUUAUAUGUUGAUGAGCACUGAAGUAGAAUAUUUACUGUUUUCAAAGAAAAAAAAAGAUUAAAGGAUUUGGCAAUUACAUUAAAUCGCACCAAAAGUUGUCUCUAAAAAGAUGGUCAACUCGUGACUUUGCUACAUUAACAAUGAGAUAAGAUAUGUCUAAAUUCGUGUCUUGGAAUGCCAAUAGACAAUAACCAAAACUUUGACUCUUUUCGUGCUUGAAAGAUUUUGCCUACUACAGAUCCAAAAUUUACGCAGUCAAAAGAUAUUACACUAAUAUAAUGUGUUUGCACCGCGUUUGAAUCAGUUUUCACCACAAAAUUAUUUAGUUUAAAGAUUAAAAUAUAUGUAAUUUCAUUUGAUUUACAUUAUUAUUUCAUUUAAAUUGAUCCAAUUCAAUUUAUUAUGGUAUAAAUUGAAUCGGUUUUCAGUUGAUCUAAAAUUAAAACUAAUUAAAUUAAUCUUAGGAAAUAGAUUAAAUUAAAACUAAUUAAUAUACUAAAGUAAUACAAAUUUUAGUAAAUAUAUUAAAUGAAAUAUAUGAAAUAGUAAAAAAUAAAUAAAAAGUAUUAUUUAAAAAAUAAAAAAUAAUAUAAAUAUUAUAUCUCAUACUAAUAAAAAGAAUAAGUAUUAAAAUUUAUACAUAUGUUUUGGUUCGAUUUUGGAAAUGAAUCUCAAAUUUAAUUCAAUUGGUUUUAACAAAAAGAGAUCAAACCCAUCAAAAAGUAUUUGAUUCGGUAGAGUUUUCAAUUUUUUUUAAUAGAUUUAUAGUUUGGUUUUGAAUUUAUUUGAUUGUGGACAUCUCUAAUUUCAUUUAUUGGAUUACGAUUAAAUGAGACUUGUUUCUAACUUGGUUAUGGUCCAUUCUACCUUGAAACAAAUAAGGCCUAGGAAGAAAUAUCAGGAGUGUCAAACACUCUUUAGUGCAACCUAACCUCAUGUGAUCUGAGUCAUUGAACAAAUCCAACGACCUUCUACAUUCCACAUUGGAUUUGGCGUAACCCCCAACAACAAUUUCUGCCAAAACCCUCUAUUGUCUUCCUAUAUGAAUGAAACGAGUAGGGGGUGUCAUGUAUGUUAUCACACAAUUACCUCUUACUCUUUCCAUUUCACUCACUACAUUGGAUGUUGGAGUGCAUUUAGGUACAUCCCAUUGCACCAAAAACAAAGCAAUUGUACUCCAUUAUGAUUGUCACCCUUUGACAACUACCACGAUCCGAUCUCUGGUCAUUUGACGUCGUCUGUGGGGAACAAAGAUCUAAGUCACACACGAGAACUGAUACACCCUAUAGUCCCUUAACCUUGACUAAGGGACUAUUAUUUCGGUACACCAAAAAAUCUUACAUUACUUAUAAAUUGAAAUUAAGGAUUUUUUAUGAUUAAAAGGAGGCAGAACAACAUAGAAACCUCUAGGGAUGAUAAUCCCUACAACAUCUCUCAAAAUGAGGGGAGAUAGAAAAUAAGGAACCACAUUGAAAAUUUUAAAGGGAAGUAACUAAUGAAGACCAUAUUUAGCUAGAACAUCUACAAAUUAAUUUGCUUCAUGAAAGACAUGAUGCCAACAAAUGACAUAACAAGGUGAUCUUAUAAUUUUAAUCACUUUCCAUUAUAAUUUGUUGAAACUCUCUCUAUAUCUAGCCUCAUAAGGCCAUGAGAGAUGCUCCAACGUUCGUCACAUAUAAUCUAAUAUAUCCUAAAAGUGCACGAGAAAGUAAACACAAACACACCAUUAUUAUCACGAAUGACACCACCACAAGAAGUGAGGCCUAAAGGUUGCAUUUCUGCACCAUCACAAUUAAUUUUAAUCCAACUCUCCAAAGGAUAGGGCAAAAUAAUGGAAGGAACAAUUAUCAAAUGGUUGUAAUGGGAGUGCAUAGAUAAACACAAAUCCACCAAAAUCUCGUAUGCCAUCAUUUUUACUCGCUCAACAGAAACAUUAUUCCUUAUUUACACACAAGAACCCAAAGUAGUCAUCUACACUUAUAUAUCCAUUGGAACAUCUUACUGAGAACAAAAAUUGUAAAUACAUAUAUAUUCAAGACUCUAAAACUGACAAUAAUUUAAAAAUAUGGUUUAAGAUCGAAACAAGAUUGAAUUGGCUUAAGAAUGCCAAGAGCCACCUAGAAUUCAAUCCACCUUUCUCUUAGUUGAUGUAUACCCAAAGUAUUAUGCAUGUGAUGUAUAUUAGUUUGUUACAUGAAAAUAAAAAUUAUUAAAUUUGAUUAAAUUUAUAAACAAUAGUAAGAACUUUAUUAUAUCAAAUGACUUUAAUUUGUAUACAAUGUCAGUGUAAAAAGUUUUUACAUUGUUAAUCAACCACAAGGAUUAGAUCAUUAAUAAUAUUUGACUUUUUGUAUAAUUAUUUAUAAAAUCACUUGUAUGAUUUAUUGACUGUAUAAAAAAAUUUACACAAUUAAUGUAUGAUAAUUAAAUUCAUUAUAUUCAUAUAAAAAUGUGAAGUAGUAGUUUUCAGACUUUGAACUCUCAUAAAAAAUUCGUCAUCAUCUUAUAAUUCGUCAAACUUUGAAUAUCUUCCUAUUGUCAUUUUAUUUCGUAUGCAUGCGGUCUAAGAUGGGAAGGUUGCAAACUUCAUUUGUAAUAUUGCACAUAAAUAUAUAAAUAUAUAUUUUUAGUUAAUUUAAUAUUUAAAUAUAUUUUUUAUUGAUUAAUUCAUUUAGUUCUCAAAUGUGUAUUUUAUCAAUUAAUUUAUAAAAUUACUAUUAAUAAGAAAUAGACUUACGUGUUUUAAAAAUAGAAUCAUGUUUUUUUUAAGGAAUAAUGGAGUGAUAUUACACAGUAAAUAUUUAUAUACUAAAACAAUUGUUUAAUAGAGUAACUAAACACAUGGCUACUAGUUAUCCCAAAUACUCUCUCCCUCUCACAAUAAGUAAUCUAUUUGUAGAAUAAAUUUAUCUAAAAUGAAUAAGUCUUUCAAUUUUUAAUAUAAUAUUAAUUAUAUUUUUUAUUGUAUUAUUUAAUAUUUCAAAGUCACGUAGAAUGGCGAGAAGACGAAUAUUGUUGUGGGUAGACCCACUAGAGAGUAUUUCAGUCUUACUGUGAACAACAUUCAAAAUAGGCUCAAUGGUUGGAAGAAACAUUGUCUUAGCUUAGUUGGGAGAAUGGAGAAGCGUCAUAAAGUGAUGGUUUUCUUCGUAACUUGGAGCGUGUGAUACUCUUCAG
rnacentral:lncRNA from 1 species